UACGUAGGUGGCGAGCGUUGUCCGGAUUUACUGGGUGUAAAGGGAGCGCAGACGGCAGUGCAAGUCUGAUGUGAAAGCCCGGGGCUCAACCCCGGAACUGCAUUGGAAACUGUACAGCUUGAGUGUCGGAGAGGUAAGCGGAAUUCCUAGUGUAGCGGUGAAAUGCGUAGAUAUUAGGAGGAACACCGGUGGCGAAGGCGGCUUACUGGACGAUGACUGACGUUGAGGCUCGAAAGCGUGGGGAGCAAACAGGAUUAGAUACCCGUGUA
rnacentral:rRNA from 1 species